rnacentral:rRNA from 1 species
GAGUUUGAUCCUGGCUCAGAUUGAACGCUAGCGGGAUGCCUUACACAUGCAAGUCGAACGGCAGCACGGACUUCGGUCUGGUGGCGAGUGGCGAACGGGUGAGUAAUGUAUCGGAACGUGCCCAGUAGCGGGGGAUAACUACGCGAAAGCGUAGCUAGUACCGCAUACGCUCUACGGGGGAAAGCAGGGGAUCGUAAGACCUUGCACUAUUGGAGCGGCCGAUAUCGGAUUAGCUAGUUGGUGGGGUAACGGCUCACCAAGGCGACGAUCCGUAGCUAGUUUGAGAGGACGACCAGCCACACUGGGACUGAGACACGGCCCAGACUCCUACGGGAGGCAGCAGUGGGGAAUUUUGGACAAUGGGGGAAACCCUGAUCCAGCCAUCCCGCGUGUGCGAUGAAGGCCUUCGGGUUGUAAAGCACUUUUGGCAGGAAAGAAACGUCACGGGUUAAUACCCCGUGAAACUGACGGUACCUGCAGAAUAAGCACCGGCUAACUACGUGCCAGCAGCCGCGGUAAUACGUAGGGUGCAAGCGUUAAUCGGAAUUACUGGGCGUAAAGCGUGCGCAGGCGGUUCGGAAAGAAAGAUGUGAAAUCCCAGAGCUUAACUUUGGAACUGCAUUUUUAACUACCGGGCUAGAGUGUGUCAGAGGGAGGUGGAAUUCCGCGUGUAGCAGUGAAAUGCGUAGAUAUGCGGAGGAACACCGAUGGCGAAAGCAGCCUCCUGGGAUAACACUGACGCUCAUGCACGAAAGCGUGGGGAGCAAGCAGGAUUAGAUAC